GUACACGCUGUGACUAGCAUAUCAAUAAGCGGAGGAAAAGAAACUAACUAGGAUUCCCUCAGUAACGGCGAGUGAAGCGGGAAGAGCUCAAAUUUGAAAUCUUCAAGGUUCUACCUUGACGAAUUGUAGUUUAAAGAAGUGUUUUCUGUUGAAGUUUUGGUAAAAGUUCUUUGGAAUAGGACAUCAUAGAGGGUGAGAAUCCCGUAUUUGACCAUUAUUUUCAGCUGUGUGAUACACUUUCAAAGAGUCGGGUUGUUUGGGAAUGCAGCCCAAAACGGGAGGUAAAUUUCUUCUAAGGCUAAAUAUUGGCGAGAGACCGAUAGCGAACAAGUACCGUGAGGGAAAGAUGAAAAGAACUUUGAAAAGAGAGUUAAAUAGUACGUGAAAUUGUCAAAAGGGAAGCGUUUAACACCAGUGUUGUUUUCUGAAAAUCAACCUCUGUUAGCUUUAUGCAUGUUUGUUUAGACCUAAUCAGCUAAUCUUUCAUGCUUCUAUUGUUUGCAGUGGUGCACUUUUCAGUUUGCAGGUCAACAUCAGUUUUUUUUACCGUAAAAAAGUUAAAGAAAGGUAGCUCAUGGCUCCGGUCGUGAGUGUUAUAGUCUUUUUCCUAUGCGGUAGGAGAGACUGAGGUCUGCAGUGUAGGCUAUUUGGCUAGAUACUCAGGUGCUAUGUGAUACCAUUUCAUAAACAACUUGUUGAUUAUGUUUUGUCUAUUGCAUACUCGCUUGUACUAUCAUACCUACGCUUAGGAUGUUGAAGACUCUACAGAGAUA
rnacentral:rRNA from 1 species